rnacentral:tRNA from 1 species
UUCCUGGUGGUCCAGUGGUUAGGACUUCACGCUUUCACUGCCAAGGGCCCGGGUUCAGUCCCUGGUCGGGGAA